rnacentral:rRNA from 1 species
GGCACCAUCCCUGUGCACCCUCCCACGGAGUACGCCGCUGCCGUGGUGUCCCUCCCGACGAACCAGAACCAUGCCAGCGACAGCAAGCUGAAGCGGCGCUGCUACCAGGGCGUGUGGGUGCGAGAGGAGUGGGCAUCAGGCAUCAUGGCCAUGCAGCGCAGCUUCACGGCGCGCCCCGGCGACGUGGUUCUCGCGAGCGUUCCCAAGAGCGGCACCACGUGGCUCAAGGCCCUGAUGUUCGCCACGAUGGCCCGCGCCGCGUGCCCGCCGGCCAGCCCCGCCCACCCGCUCCGCCGCCUCAACCCACACGACUGCGUGCCCCUCGUGGACAGGCUCUUCGCCGUCGGCCGCGAGGCUGUGCUGGACGCGCUGCCCUCGCCGAGGCUCAUGUGCACGCACAUGCCGCUGUCGGUGCUGCCGCUGUCCAUAUCCAGAGGACCCUACUGCAAAAUCGUCUACAUUUGCAGGGAUCCAAAGGACAUGGUGGUAUCGUUGUGGCACUUCGUCAAUGGUGCUCAACCUGACAUAUCACUCCAGGAGAUGUACGAGACUGUCUGUGAGGGCACAAGUAACGGCGGACCUUUUUGGGAUCACAUCCUCGGAUACUCGAGGGCAAGCAAUGCAGAGCCAAACAGAGUGCUUUUCCUCACCUACGAGCAGAUGCUUCAGGAUCCGCUGGACAAAGUCAGGAAGCUAGCUCAGUUCCUUGAGAGGCCAUUCUCUGACACACAGGAGGAGGCCGGUGUCGUUGCAGAGAUUGUUGAGCUCUGCAGCUUGGAGAUUCUGAAAAAUUUAGAGGCGAACAAGAAAGGCUCCCAAGGAGUGUUCUUCAAGUUCUCGCAUGACUCCUAUUUCAGGAAUGGGGUGGUGGGAGACUGGGUGAACCACUUUACGCCUGAGAUGGCUAAACGUCUGGAUGCGAUAUGCAAGGAGAAGUUCCGUGGGUCAGGCUUCACUUUCUAG